rnacentral:rRNA from 1 species
CGGAUCGGGUAGGGAUACCCGCUGAACUUAAGCAUAUCAAUAAGCGGAGGAA